GCCUGCCCAGUGACGACCGUUAAACGGCCGCGGUAUCCUGACCGUGCAAAGGUAGCAUAAUCACUUGUUCCCUAAAUAGGGACUUGUAUGAAUGGCCACACGAGGGUUUUACUGUCUCUUACUUCCAAUCAGUGAAAUUGACCUUCCCGUGAAGAGGCGGGAAUAUAUUAAUAAGACGAGAAGACCCUAUGGAGCUUUAACUACUUAGCCCAAAAGAAAUAAAUUUCAUUGCUAAGGAAACAACAAUACUCUUUAUGGGCUAACAGCUUUGGUUGGGGUGACCUCGGAGAACAAAAAAUCCUCCGAGCGAUUUUAAAGACUAGACCUACAAGUCGAAUCACACAAUCGCUUAUUGAUCCAAAAAAUUGAUCAACGGAACAAGUUACCCUAGGGAUAACAGCGCAAUCCUAUUCAAGAGUCCAUAUCGACAAUAGGGUUUACGACCUCGAUGUUGGAUCAGGACAUCCCGAUGGUGCAACCGCUAUCAAAGGUUCGUUUGUUCAACGAUUAAAGUCCUACGUGAUCUGAGUC
rnacentral:rRNA from 1 species